AGAGUUUGAUCAUGGCUCAGGAUGAACGCUAGCUACAGGCUUAACACAUGCAAGUCGAGGGGAAACGGAUAUUGGAAGCUUGUCUUCCGAUAGGCGUCGACCGGCGUACGGGUGAGUAACGCGUAUCCAACCUGCCCACCACUUGGGGAGUAACCUUGCGAAAGUAAGACUAAUACCCAAUGACGUCUCUAGAAGACAUCUGAAAGAGAUUAAAGAUUUAUCGGUGAUGGAUGGGGAUGCGUCUGAUUAGCUUGUUGGCGGGGUAACGGCCCACCAAGGCGACGAUCAGUAGGGGUUCUGAGAGGAAGGCCCCCCACAUUGGAACUGAGACACGGUCCAAACUCCUACGGGUGGCAGCA
rnacentral:rRNA from 1 species